AAUUUAGUUACUCACAGCUAAUCCGUCGCGGUGUUUCUAUCGCACCAUAGGGUUUGCGGCAGUUGCGCGGCCCUCCGACGAUCGCGUAAUGGCGUGGGGGCGACGAAACCGUGGGAUUGGAUGUAGCCUCCGCCAGCCUCCAUGUCAGCGAGCGCAUCGGCAGGGACGUCGCCGGCCGCCUCGACCUCGAGGAGGCUAUCGAAGCCUCGCUCUAUGCUAGCCUCCCCCUACUCCACCCUCCCCAAAGAGAUAUGCUUGGAAAUGCACAACUUUUCAGAUUAUUCUGUGUGAAGCUCUUUCUAGAGGUGAAGUUGCAGAAGCAUGUUCUGUAGUAAAGAGGGUCGGUUCAAAUAUCUAUAUUGGAGUGGAGGGUCGCUUGUCUUUAGAGAUUAUUUGUCUUCAUCUUGAAAUGGAUGCUUAGCAAUGUAUGAAUAUUCUACAAACAAGCCUCAUCAUACGUCCUAGAGCCCUUCUUGCUGCUUGUAAGGUUGAACCAAAGCCUGUAUUAAGCACAUAUGAUCAGCUUUUAUCAUAUGAUCUUGCCGUACUCUGUGAGUGGGUUGGGUCUGUAUUUGCACAUACAUUAGGGACCACAGCUGUUGGCACUUCUCCAAUCCUUGGUGGAUUACUCUUGUUACAACAGACAGCAAUCAUCAACCAAGGAGCUCGAGAUAAGAUAACCAGUUUAGCAAAUGGAUAAGUUUUUUGUUUUUUUUGAAAGCAGUAGAAUUACAUUUAUUCCAAUCUUUUUAUGUUAGUAGUUUAUUUAUUGUGACUUAUAGUUGGUUAAUAAAAACUUUCAAAGUAUCUAUUGAAAAAGGUUAAUAAACAAAUCCCAGUGCACUUAUUUUUUAAUAUUAAUCUAUAGCGGUUUACUUGUUGUCGCUUAGGGUCUUAAUAGAAUGGACUUAUUCUAGGAUAGUACUUCAGAGAGUUUGCCAAUAUUGAUGAUAUGUUUCUCUGCACUCCUUGUGCUCGGCAGCCAAGGAUAAUAAAAGCUACACUCAGUUUUCACUAAUUGCAUAUAUCCCUUCUCCACUUGGCAUUUGAUGGAAUCCAUUUUACUUGUUUUUUCAAAGUUUUCCUAUUUUUAUUAAUCUUCAACUUGCGAUGACAGGCAUACUUCCACAAAAUCUGACGGAGUCAGUUUACAAAGGCUUUUAGAGAACUUGAAGAAAACAACUUUAGCAACACUCUGAACGUUGUUGGAAAAUUUUACCUGCACAAGGAGGCUUUGUAUUGUUGUAACACUGCCUCGUAUCACAUUUGAUCAAUCAAAAUUUUACGUGGAUCCAGCAAAGCUCCAUCGGCCCACUGAAGUGUAGGCCGUGCAUGCUGACAGAAGGUUUCAGUUUAACACAUUUGGAUCGUAAUGCUUGUUGCAGGGCUGCAACUUGGGUGGGUGUCGAAUUUGAGAGACUCUGCAGGUUUUUCCCAUUCGUGCCGCAAGAGCUCCCAAAAAGCAAAAGACAGUGGCAGGGAAUGGAGUAUGGACCCUGGCAGUGCAUGCUGUUCCUAUCAUGCACAGUUGUGCUGCUGCUGCUGACUUAGCUUCGCAUCAUUGACACGGCAUGUUCCAUCUAGUCUUAUUCACGAUGGUAUUUUAAUUGCCCAUCAUCAGCCAUCCACUUUUCACAUCAAAAACCAAGGGCCUGACGACACGCAGCUACCAGCCAUUUGUGGACACUUGUUGCAUUCCGGGCUCCUCUUCUCUGCAUGCCUAUGGCAAAAUUUGAUAUCAGGAAGAGACGAAUUCGUAUCUGAACUCCACUUCAUUUCGGGGCACAGGAAUAAAAAUAAAUCAUGCGUGCAUUUGUUUGGUUGAUGCAUGCGUAAAGUUUCUACAGACACAAAAACAAAAAAAAAAAAAAAGGCCUAUUCACGAAGAGAAUUAAGGAAGUAUGUCGACUUGUGCGUGCAAGGACUUCACGCGCUACUUGUGCGAAUUUAUUCCAGUUUGGUGCUUUGAUGAUUAAAUAUUAUGCCUACUCGUGUGUCGUGUGUGCCUAUAUGCAUGUGUAUAGAAUUGCAUAUGAUAGUUGUGUGUAUUUAUCUCAUUUUGGCGGUCUAACAAUUCGGUAUAUUAUGCCAAUUGGUGUGUGUAUUUAUACCAUCUUAAUACUUUCGUGAUUCUGUGCUAUAUAGAUUUAUGUAUGUAUGAACUUGCACAUGUUAGUUGCA